UACGGAGGGUGCGAGCGUUAUCCGGAUUCACUGGGUUUAAAGGGUGCGUAGGUGGGAAUGUAAGUCAGUGGUGAAAUCUCUGAGCUUAACUCAAGAAACUGCCAUUGAUACUAUGUUUCUUGAAUUUUCUGGAGGUCAGCGGAAUAUGUCAUGUAGCGGUGAAAUGCUUAGAUAUGACAUAGAACACCAAUUGCGAAGGCAGCUGGCUACAGGGAUAUUGACACUGAGGCACGAAAGCGUGGGGAUCAAACAGG
rnacentral:rRNA from 1 species